GGGCGCUGCGCGUAGCUUCCACUCGCCCGGCUUCGAGCUCCAUGAGGACCAAGCAGGUGAACGUGCUGAUCGCGCUGGCCGCCGUCAUGCUCUUCAGCUUCUCCUGCUUCUGCAUCUCCAGGAUGACUCAAACCAGUAAUCAAUUAAUUAAUUGUAGAAACCAUAUUUUGGAGUUUAAGGAAAAAAUGCUACGUUUAAAAAACAAAACUGAAAGAAAUCGCCAAGAGCUGAUCAAAGCCUUGAGUAAAAUGAAGUAUGAAAUGACACAGAGAAAAAAUAUGCCCAUAAACUUAGUUGAGAAGAAAAUGAAGACCUUGGGUAAGAGUGAAACAGCAUCUAAUACAUUUGAAAUCCUAAAGUUCUUUUUUCCUCAUUUAAGGAAAGCAGGCAGAAUUUAUCCUGAUGUAAUCAUUGGCAAAGAGAAAACAGGUGUCUCUUUUGCACUGGGUAUUUCCACUGUUAACAGAGGAAAUCAGAGUUACCUGAAGCAAACACUGAAUUCCGUUGUCUCCAGGAUGACUCCUUCGGAAGAGAAGGACUCCGUGGUGAUCGUCUCUGUUGCAGAUGGAAAUGAAGAUUACUUAAAAUCUGUUGUUGACAUGAUUACAAAAAGAUUCGAAAGACAACUAAGGUCUGGAUCAUUAGAAAUCAUUUCAAUACCUGCCUUUUUUUAUCCAAACAUAUUCCACGUCAAGCAGUCAACUGAGGACUCCGGAAGAUCAGAGAGUUGGCGUAUCAAACAAGUACUGGAUUUUUGUUUUUUGAUGCUAUAUGCCCAACCCAAGGCCAUGUAUUAUUUACAGCUAGAAGAUGAUAUCAUAGCUAAAAAGACAUACCUUACAAAAAUCACAGAUUUUGUGCAUAAUAUCACUUCCAAAAAUUGGUUUUAUAUUGAGUUUUCAAUUCUUGGAUUCAUAGGAAAGCUUUUUAAAUCUGAGGACUUAACUGACUUUGUACGUUUUUUUUUAAUGUUCUACAAAGAUAAACCCAUAGACUUGCUCUUGGGGGACAUUUUUCAGGUAAAGAUGUGUAACCCAGGAGAAACUCCUGAAAAAUGUGCAGAACGAAAUAAACAAAUUCGUAUUCAAUAUAAGCCUUCUCUUUUCCAGCAUGUGGGUAUAGAGUCAUCACUCCCUGGUGAAGAACAAUAUUCCAAAGAGCUUCAUAAUUCAAAUACCUUCUUUAAAAAUGAUGAACAUCAUUCUUUGGAAAAAAUGGCAUAAUAAGGAUUAGUCUUAGCUCUCAACUUACUUCAUAGUGGAUAAGAGACUGUAUCAUAUAAAAAAAUUUAAGCCUUUGAUAAUAGAAAAAUAUGAAGAUAAUAAGCAUAACAAGAAAAAAACUCUAUAAUACCUUGGAACCUCAGAUAACCUUGCUUUCUCAUGGCCUCUUUCAGAAAUUAUAAUAAUGAAAAUGCAUAAUUGUAUAGAAGAGGAGAAAACAAUAAACUACUAGAAUUGAAAGUACUAAACUACCUCUUACAUCAAGAAAAAUUAAAAUAUUUAUGAUACUUAUACUAUUACUAUUAUAAUUUAAUUUAAAAAUAGUAAAAGCAGGGAAGUUUUCAAAAUUAAGAAAUGUAUUUUGUUAACUUAGUGAUGCUGUCACAUAAUCUCAUUAAAUAAAUAUCUACAAGUUUAGAAAAUUGCCAUUGCCACAGACAAGUUCUGUGUAUAUUGGAGUAUGUUCUUAUCCAUUUUGUUAGGACAUCUAAAGAAAUAGAAAGCACAAUUUAAGCAACCCUGGCUCUAAAUAUUUAAAGAUAUCUUCUUUUAAAUAAAUUCAUUUAAAACUAUAAACUUACCCCGAAGUGCCAUUGAAUUACCAACCUCUUGAUAUUUAGGUAUUCUGAUAGUCAUUCAGUUCUAGAGAUUUAUAAUUUCUCUUAUUAUUAUCUUUUUAGCUCCGGGGGUAGUUGGUAGUUUUGUGGGUUUUUUUUUUUCUUUCAAAUGUAUUGGUUUUUGCCAUCUUUUACUGUUGAUUUCUUAUUUAAUUACAUUGAUAUUAGUGGAUUUUAUCUGUGUGAUGAUUUGAGAAUUGUUAUGAAUUGUACACCCCUUUUCAAAUAUGUUGCAUUCAUUUGUUUUUUAUAAAUGUUAGUUUUGUGCUUUAAAAAUAUCUUUUUAAAAUAUUCCUAUUUAUUGGGUAAAGGACUCUUAUAUGAGGCUUUUUAAUUUACAUUUUCAAGUUCUUUUAAUUCUAAUGAAUUUUUGUCUGCUUGAAUGAUCUAUCAGUUUCUUAGAGAAGUCUAUUAAACUCCCCUAUUUCUUCUUGUUAUUCUUUCGGGUUUUAUUUUAUUUGCUUUGAGAAAUAAUAAGAGAUGUUUCU